AGCAGGUGAGUGCAGGAUGGCCUAGACAGAGCAGGUGAGUGCAGGAAGGCCUAGACAGAGCAGGUGAGUGCAGGAAGGCCUAGACAGAGCAGGUGAGUACAGGAUGGCCUAGACAGAGCAGGUGAGUGCAGGAAGGCCUAGACAGAGCAGGUACAGGAUGGCCUAGACAGAGCAGGUGAGUGCAGGAUGGCCUAGACAGAGCAGGUGAGUGCAGGAAGGCCUAGACAGAGCAGGUGCAAAAUCAAUACCAAUGUAUUUAUGCAAAUUAGAGUACUAUUAUUUAUUAUUUUAACACAAUAUUUAAAAAAUCCCCGAUACCUUUAGAGGGAAAAAAAGUGAGAUUUGUUCAGUAACUGUUAUUCCUGAAUUCCCACAAAUCCUUGAGCUCCAUAAAUGAUUUGCCCCUGACAGGAAAAUGUUUUAUGUGCUUUUAAUGGAGCUCAAGGAUUUGUGGAGUAUCUGAAUUAGAAUUGUUUUUAAAACCUUUCAACAGUGGGUGAUUACAGCAGCCAGUUUUUACUCUCGUACUGUACCUACCCAUUGUGCAUAGUCCUAUGGAAGGGUAUGCAAGUUCUCUGAUGACAAUCAAUACAUGAGUCCUCUAUCUGCCCUCUUGACGCCACAAUGUAGGCCUUUCUGAACGAGUCACAGAAUACAGGAAGCCCUUGAACAGAAUAGACUGAAUCUGUAUACAUGUUAUACUGAUUCACCACGGCCAGAAAAUAUUCUCAGGCGUAACUUUUUUCAAUGCCUAGUCAUACCACAGUUUUUGUGCAUUCACUUUGGGAUUGCUUUUGAAGAACAAUGGUGACCCUCUCACAUUUAGAGGCCUGUGUGGUUUGGCAUCUUUUGAGUAUUGUGCCUCUCAUGAAAAUAUAAUACUUUUUUUUUAAGUGGACGAUAUAUUGUGCUGCAUUGAUUGGUGCUGAUUAAGAUGAUGUCUGAU